GGCCGAGCGAGCCGCCCGCGGCUUCAAAGAGGUAGCGUUCUAAAAUGCUUAAUAACUUUUUAACCGCUAAUUCUAUCCAUCUGAUUUAAAAAGUGAGGUAAAGCGGCUAUUCUAGGCUUUUUGCUGGUAUCACUAUGUCCUUUUCCGGGAUUUAGAGGCUCCGACGUGAUCGGGGCAAAGUUAUCACAUUUUACAGCCUUGAUUCGUCAAGGAGACCCACGCGGCCCCUCUGUCUGAGCCAAACAGCCAAGGUUUUAGACUAAGUCCCACCCCCCUGUGUCCGGAUAGGUUUAAAAUGUAAAGGUCCAGGCAAACCUCUGCCCAUGCUACCAUCUUCUCGACCAAUCAACAUAGGUUGCUGUGUAUGUUUUUGGCGGCGGGAGAUAAACAAAGAGAAACAGAGAGACGAGAGAGUAAUACUAAAGAAGAGUAAUUCUGCCAGCGUAAGAGAAAUACAUACAACACGAGAUAUCUAGAUACAGUCACACACACACACACACACACACACACACACACACACACACACACACACACACAAAUACAUACACACACACACACACACACACACACACAUAUCCCAAGACAAAUUCAAACCAACAUGUCAAAACGGCGUUACACUACGGAAGAAGCCGUAGAAUGUAUUUUGUCUGGCGGACCGCUUAGCGAUGCAGCGGUGGAUUCCUCAGAUUCUGAAGCUGACAACUGGCAAGGAAGAGGAGUAUGAUCACGGGAUUGAUCCCUUCGAAGAUAAAAAAGACAGAGGAUGAGAGAGGGGAUGCACAAGCCACUGUCCCCAUCAGUAGGCCUCCUUCAAACCGAGAGGGAAAAGAAUGCGGCCAGGAGGGUGCAGCAUCCAGAAAAAAGGCCAAACCAAUGCCAGCCCCCCUGACAGUGAAAGGGAGAGGAAGAGGAAAAGGGAAAAAAACAUCUCUGACCCCAGAAGAGCCAGGAGCUGUUUGGAACGGACCUGAGGUGCCAGAUACUGCCCAACAACUACCACACUUUUGCCCGAAAAGAGCCCCUGGAGUCCAAGGUUUUGUUGGUGUGGAGUAUACUCCUGCACAAAUAUUUAGAAAUUGUUUUAACAACCAAGCUGUAAAUAUCAUCUGCAAGAACACAAACAAAAAUGCUGAAAAGGAGCAGGCUAAGGGGGAAAAGUUUGUUUGGGAAAGCCGGUAAAAUUCCUCAUGUAUGUCGGCCUUAUGAUGUUCAUGGCACUUCUAAAACUGCUCAAAGUAAGAGACUACUGGAGGAAGGGAUCACACCUGAGUGUUCUCUUUCCUGCUUCUAUCAUGACAAGAGACAGGUUCAUGGCAAUCAGCAGAGCUGUACAUCUGAGCGACCCAGACCAUGAUGAAUCUUGAUACAUUUCCUUUGCUCUUUAUAUAUUUUUCUAAUAUUUUGGUUAUAGUUUGAAGAUCAUUUGCUCUUUGUACUUUUGCACUUUCUAUAUAUUCCUAAUACUUUGUUUAUAGUUUUAAUAUAAUUUGCACUUUGUUAAUUUGCACUUUGAAUUUGUUUCACUGUUUGUGUUUGUAUUUCAAUGUUCAAAUUAUAAUAUAUAUCUCUGAAACAA